UUUAAAGACUUUGGAUUACAAAUACAAUUACGAUUUUUAACUUUGGAUUACAAUUCGUAUCCGGAUCUAUCCAAGAAUAUCUUACUCUGGAACUUGGUGUUCUUUUCAAUUCUUUCCCAGACAAAAGCUUUGCUCAUUUUAAUCAACCACCUUUACAGGCAAAGAUCACACUACAGAUAUUUUACUGUUACAACAAUGAUCUAAGAUGCUGGGAGCAUAAAAAACCUAAAGAC